UUAAUUGAAGAGUUUGAUCAUGGCUCAGAUUGAACGCUGGCGGCAGGCUUAACACAUGCAAGUCGAGCGGUAGCACAAGAGAGCUUGCUCCCUGGGUGACGAGCGGCGGACGGGUGAGUAAUGUCUGGGAAACUGCCUGAUGGAGGGGGAUAACUACUGGAAACGGUAGCUAAUACCGCAUAACGUCGCAAGACCAAAGAGGGGGACCUUCGGGCCUCUUGCCAUCAGAUGUGCCCAGAUGGGAUUAGCUAGUAGGUGGGGUAAUGGCUCACCUAGGCGACGAUCCCUAGCUGGUCUGAGAGGAUGACCAGCCACACUGGAACUGAGACACGGUCCAGACUCCUACGGGAGGCAGCAGUGGGGAAUAUUGCACAAUGGGCGCAAGCCUGAUGCAGCCAUGCCGCGUGUGUGAAGAAGGCCUUCGGGUUGUAAAGCACUUUCAGCGAGGAGGAAGGUGGUGAGCUUAAUACGUUCAUCAAUUGACGUUACUCGCAGAAGAAGCACCGGCUAACUCCGUGCCAGCAGCCGCGGUAAUACGGAGGGUGCAAGCGUUAAUCGGAAUUACUGGGCGUAAAGCGCACGCAGGCGGUUUGUUAAGUCAGAUGUGAAAUCCCCGGGCUCAACCUGGGAACUGCAUUUGAAACUGGCAAGCUAGAGUCUCGUAGAGGGGGGUAGAAUUCCAGGUGUAGCGGUGAAAUGCGUAGAGAUCUGGAGGAAUACCGGUGGCGAAGGCGGCCCCCUGGACGAAGACUGACGCUCAGGUGCGAAAGCGUGGGGAGCAAACAGGAUUAGAUACCCUGGUAGUCCACGCUGUAAACGAUGUCGAUUUGGAGGUUGUGCCCUUGAGGCGUGGCUUCCGGAGCUAACGCGUUAAAUCGACCGCCUGGGGAGUACGGCCGCAAGGUUAAAACUCAAAUGAAUUGACGGGGGCCCGCACAAGCGGUGGAGCAUGUGGUUUAAUUCGAUGCAACGCGAAGAACCUUACCUACUCUUGACAUCCAGAGAACUUUCCAGAGAUGGAUUGGUGCCUUCGGGAACUCUGAGACAGGUGCUGCAUGGCUGUCGUCAGCUCGUGUUGUGAAAUGUUGGGUUAAGUCCCGCAACGAGCGCAACCCUUAUCCUUUGUUGCCAGCGGUUCGGCCGGGAACUCAAAGGAGACUGCCAGUGAUAAACUGGAGGAAGGUGGGGAUGACGUCAAGUCAUCAUGGCCCUUACGAGUAGGGCUACACACGUGCUACAAUGGCGUAUACAAAGAGAAGCGACCUCGCGAGAGCAAGCGGACCUCAUAAAGUACGUCGUAGUCCGGAUUGGAGUCUGCAACUCGACUCCAUGAAGUCGGAAUCGCUAGUAAUCGUAGAUCAGAAUGCUACGGUGAAUACGUUCCCGGGCCUUGUACACACCGCCCGUCACACCAUGGGAGUGGGUUGCAAAAGAAGUAGGUAGCUUAACCUUCGGGAGGGCGCUUACCACUUUGUGAUUCAUGACUGGGGUGAAGUCGUAACAAGGUAACCGUAGGGGAACCUGCGGUUGGAUCACCUCCUUACCUAAAGA
rnacentral:rRNA from 1 species